rnacentral:sRNA from 1 species
CGCAGGUUCGAAUCCUGCACGACCCACCAAUUUUAACAUCAAACUCAGAUGUUAAGCGUGAAGGAUAACGUUGCGUCAGCAACGGCCCGUAGGGCAAGCGAAGCGAGUCAUCCUGCACGACCCACCA